AGAAAUUUAGGCUAACUAAACCAAGGGCCUUCAAAGCCCUAAAUAUGAGCGAUAAACCUCUUAAUUUCUG
rnacentral:tRNA from 1 species